CCCUCAGCAAAUCACUUA
rnacentral:snRNA from 1 species